rnacentral:rRNA from 1 species
CUCCUGGAAACGGGUGGUAAUGCCGGAUGCUCCGACUCCUCGCAUGGGGUGUCGGGAAAGAUUUCAUCGGUAUGGGAUGGGGUCGCGUCCUAUCAGGUAGUCGGCGGGGUAACGGCCCACCGAGCCUACGACGGGUAGCCGGCCUGAGAGGGCGACCGGCCACAUUGGGACUGAGAUACGGCCCAGACUCCUACGGGAGGCAGCAGUGGGGAAUAUUGCACAAUGGGCGCAAGCCUGAUGCAGCGACGCCGCGUGCGGGAUGACGGCCUUCGGGUUGUAAACCGCUUUUGAUCGGGAGCAAGCCUUCGGGUGAGUGUACCUUUCGAAUAAGCACCGGCUAACUACGUGCCAGCAGCCGCGGUAAUACGUAGGGUGCAAGCGUUAUCCGGAAUUAUUGGGCGUAAAGGGCUCGUAGGCGGUUCGUCGCGUCCGGUGUGAAAGUCCAUCGCUUAACGGUGGAUCUGCGCCGGGUACGGGCGGGCUGGAGUGCGGUAGGGGAGACUGGAAUUCCCGGUGUAACGGUGGAAUGUGUAGAUAUCGGGAAGAACACCA